rnacentral:rRNA from 1 species
CCUACGGGUGGCAGCAGUAAGGAAUCUUUCACAAUGGGCGAAAGCCUGAAGGAGCAACGCCGCGUGCAGGAUGAAGGCCCUCGGGUUGUUAACUGCUUUUAUAAGCGAGAAAUAUGAGGGUAACUGAUGAAGAAGGAUCGGCUAACUACGUGCCAGCAGCAGCGAUCAUACGUAGGCUCCGAGAAUUAUACGGAGUGACUGGGUGUUAAAAGGUGUGUAGGGGGCAUAAUAAGUAGCUAGUGGAAACUGGUGGCUCAACCAUUCAUACUGUUAGCUACACUGUUAAGCUCGAGACCGUUAGGGGUAAGUGGAAUUUGUGGUGUAGGAGUGAAAUGCGUAGAUAUCAGAAAGAACACCGAUAGCGUAGGCAGGUUACUGGGACGGUUCUGACACUAAGGCACGAAAGCGUAGGUAGCAAACGGGAGUAGAUACCCCUGUAGUC